AUAGCUACCUCUUUUGAAUUGUCAACUGUCUAUAUUGUAUCAGAGGCCCUUUAUGAUGCAUAUACUGAUCUUUAUUUGUAAAUGCACAGCGUAAUUAUAUAUAUAUUUAUCUUGGUAGACGACCGAUUGCUGGCUAGUUUGUUAGCUCGAUUUCACCAUCUGUGAAGGUAUCUCCGGGGGUAAAUUGAUUAAAUAGCUACCUCUUUUGAAUUGUCAACUGUCUAUAUUGUAUCAGGACCUUUAUGAUGCAUAUAUUGAUAUUUAUUUGUAUAUGCACAGCGUUAUUAUAUAUAUUUUUUAUCUUGGUAGACGACCGAUUGCCUGCUAGUUUGUUAGCUCGACUUCACCACCUGUGAAGGUAUCUCCGGGGGUACAUUGAUUAAAUAGCUACCUCUUUUGAAUUGUCAACUGUCUAUAUUGUAUCAGGACCUUUUAUGAUGCAUAUAUUGAUAUUUAUUUGUAUAUGGACAGCGUAAUUAUAUAUAUUUUUAUCUUGGUAGACGACCGAUUGCCUGCUAGUUUGUUAGCUCGACUUCACCAUCUCUGAAGGUAUCUCCAGGGGUAAAUUGAUUAAAUAGCUACCUCCUUUGAAUUGUCAACUGUCUAUAUUGUAUCAGGACCUUUUAUGAUGCAUAUACUGAUAUUUAUUUGUAUAUGCACAGCGUAAUUAUAUAUAUUUAUAUCUUGGUAGACGACCGAUUGCCUGCUAGUUUGUUAGCUCGACUGCACAAUGUGAUGGUAUCUACACCAACAAUUACAAAGUUCAGUACUAGUGAAUCUAACUUUUAUUUAGUUAGUUAUUUAUGUUGGAUUACUAGGAUAAUUUAGGUUGAUUUAAGGACGGGUUUUAUGAUGCGAUAGCUAGUAGAAAUAACAGUGUUUGUUUAAUUAUAUCCUGGAAAGGGUGAUGUUCAGCACAUGAAGCCCUACAGAUGCCGCCGAUUCAACAAUGCUGAUUAUGAUGGGCGGUCAAUUUAACCUUUGCCUUAUUAGGUCCUCCACAGUCGCCCCAUCAGUCCCUGGCAGUCUGGUCCCUGGAGCAGCUGGCCCUGGCAAAAGUUAUUCCUUCACUGUUGACCCCUGACUGACUGGCCCUCGGCACACAAAUCCCUGGAUCACCUGCCCCUGGAUCACCUGCCCCUGGAUCACCUGCCCCUGGAUCACCUGCCCCUGGAUCACCUGCCCCUGGCAAUGUAACCUCUUGAUUGCUCUCUCCGUCUCCUGUGAUGUCCUUUUCAACGCUCUUGAAAUCCACCUCAAUUUCUCCCUCAAUCUCUGUAAUAAUUACAAGGUAAUGUUGCUGUUAUAUGUAUUUUGCCUUUGCAUUUGCAACUACUGUCAUCUCCAAUGUAAUAAAAUGAAUUAAAGCAAAAAAUGUCUGUAAUGUGAAUUAAAUCAUCUGCCACAAUCAGAAACCAAUACAAUUUAUAAAUGGAUCUACCGGCAAUUGUUAAUUGGGUAGAAAUGUGUUGAUUAUCUACAUUGUGUGCAAAUCCUCAGAGAAUCCCUGCCUUCUGGUUGUUUUUUAAACUGAAUGUACAAAUAUGAAUUAUGUCAUCUCAUUAGGAGUGUAGUCUAUCCUUGAAUUACAUGAAAUGGGGAAUAUUGUUAGCUGCAUGGAUCAUACCGAAGUUUAAUUUGGUGCAAUAUGUGUGGUCCGUUGCACUUGGUUCCGGAGGCACCCUCACAGAAGGGGGUUUCCUCCUCUUCGGUUUAGGGCGAUGGAUGAAAACUGUUGGGCCUGCGUCGGGCCUCAACUUCAACAUCCUAUCUACUUUUGUGGCUUUGAAUCUGUCAUUUUCAAAGUGUACCUGUAGGUAGGCUUGUAAGAUCAGUUUCCAUUGCACUUCAAAUAUCAUUGGAAAGUCAUAAUUCUCUACACUUAGAAUUAUUAUGCCCUUUGAAAUGCUAGCAAGUGAUCUGAACAUUACAUCGUUUUUGACUGUUGCUGACUGUCAAUAAGUUUUGACGGCUGACCAUUGCCAUCCAUUUCUCCCUGCGCUCUUGGUCCUUGGGGAAGCCGUACAUGUGAUAACCCUUCUCGGACAGAUUGGGGCAUCCAAAUGCUGCACAGCCAACCAUGGUAUGACCAUUUAUCUAUAAAAUGUUAGUUGUAACCAAUGAACCAUGACACCAUUGAAGAUCACAGAGCGGGUAACAACUGUUCCUCAACCACUUAUGCCCCGACUUUUGAGAAUAGGUUAGAGGUCAGAGUUCAUGACCAAACGAGGAUCCUCCCUCCUACACCCAUUUUGAAUUUGCUCAGGGCUAUUCUAAGUAUUGUAACGGCAUAAAGUAUAGUAUAUUUGCAACGUUAUAUGUUAAUGGUUUGCCCUAAGUAUAUAGUGUUCCCUGCUGUGUCCAUUGUUGAAUCUGUUCACACAAUCGCAAUCACUUGUUCUUGUCACACUAAUUGUUUAAUAAAAAAAAUUACAAUUUCAUUCA